rnacentral:tRNA from 1 species
GCAGUCGAGGCCGAGUGGUUAAGGCGAUGGACUAUAAAUCAAUUGGGGUCUCCCCGCACAGGUUCGAAUCCUGUCGACUGCG